UUCCUGCAGUCUCUUCACGCAGCAGGAAAUCACAGCACGAGCCCUUAGCAUUUGUUCUCAUCCUAUGCAAUGCUGCAAAGGGCAGCCUGCACACGUCUUCUGCUGUGCAACAGAGAGAGGAGAGUGCAAAGGGCUGAUCUCUGAGUAAGGGCAGUAUUUAUGUCUAAACAUUUCUCUCAAAGCACACAGUUUCUUUGGGGCUUUCAGAUCCAUGGUCUUUAGGGAAAUGCAACAGCAUGUAGUUGACUAAUUGGAUGCAUUAUUUAUAACAUUACUGACACACACAGUGGGUUUUCCUUUUGCAAACUGAAUAGAGAUUGGUAGCAGGCAUGCUGGGGACACAAUCUGGGACAAUGACAUUGCAUAUGAAUUAUUGCUAUAACUGUUGAGCUUUGCCGGACUACCUGAUCAGAAUUAGAAACCUAUUUUCUUCGUGUAAGCAGAGGGCCAGAGGCAUCAAUUAAUUUUUGACUGAGCCUUGAUUAAAUUCAGUCUACAGGACCUUGAGGUAAGCUAGAAAUCCAAGUAGUUUAGAUACAUAAGGCAAUUUAGCCAAAUGGUAUGCAGGCAGCCCCAGAACAAUGGCUAGUCAAUAUGAAAAUCUAUUUUAGAAAUCCACUCUGCCCUCUGUCCUUUUUUCUUGAGUAACCAUCUUAGAUAUUUGUAAGGUUUCUGGCUGCUUCAACAUGAAAGCAAUUUCUCUUGUAAAGAUAUGAUGCCGAUAUAGGCCCUUAGGAAGAAAACUUGUAAUUAAAUUACUAUAUCAUAUUUCUGCCUCCUGACUCUAACAGUACAAUUGAGAGCACAGAAGCACAGACUGUGUAAGGCUGGAAGGACCACUGGAGGUCAUCUAGUCUAGCCUCCCUCCUACCAGGGUCAUCCUAGAGCACAUUGCACAGGAUGGCACCCAGACAGUUCUUGAAUGCGUACAGUGAUGGAGAGACCGCUGUCUCUCUGAACAAUCUGUUCCACUGCAAUCUGUUCCCACACAGUAAAGUUCUUCCUCAUAUCCAGGUGGAGCUUCCUGUGCAUCAGUUCCUGGCCAUUGUCUUUUGUCCUAUUGCUUGGCAUCACCACAAAGAACCUGGCUCCAUCCUCAACACCCUCCCUUGAGAUACUUACGGAUAUUGAAGAAAUCCCCUCUCAAUCAUCUCUUCACUAGGCUACACAGGGUGAGUUUCUUCAGCUAUUUCUUGUGAGGUGCUCUAGCAUUACAUUUGAAAGAAAUGUCUAGUAAUUAAUCUCACUGAUUAGAAAAAGUUGCUUGUCCAGUAUCACGAUUCCUAUGACUUCCACAGUUCUCUGAAGCCACACUUAACAAUUCUGUUUGCAGGGGCUGCCAGCCCAAUACACCUCCCACAUGCAGGGAUUAAUAGUUUUCCACUGAGCAGUUCCAGGGAAACGUCAAUGACUUCACAGUUUUGAUGACUACUGUUUACUUAGAUAAGUUAAGAAAAGUGACUUCUAAACCAUGCCUUGAUGUUUAUGAUGACAGUAUCAAAAUCUGAAAAGGUUAGUGAUUACAUUAAUGCUGCACAUUCAUAUGGAAGGAAUGCUUUGUCAUUUAUUUUGUUCUGCUUGAUGACUUAUGGGUAUAGAAAGAUGAGAUGAACUGCAGAAUCAUUUGUCUUUUAUAAAAUAACUGAAAUGAUUGUCCUUCCUUACCCUGACUCAGGGAGAUUUAUACCAUGGUAUUUCAGCCUGAUUUACUGUGUGUCUUUUUCACAGGACAAUACCAAAUCCAGUUUUCCAUGAAAGGAUUCAAACCUUCAAGCAGAAGGUGACUGGGCUCCAUCUGGGAACCUUUUGGAGUUGAGGCAGUUCUGAAUGAAGACAUUUUUCUAAGGGGGAACUGUCAUCUGUGCAAUAUCAAAGUGUGUGUGCGUGGGUGGAAUCACAUAUUGGGAAUACACUUUCAUGAUUAUUUUAAUGGUGUAAUUUUAAUUGUUUAGUUGAACAAGAUUGAUCUGAUGAGGUAUGCUAACAACUAAAUCCCUCUGAGAGGAAUCUGCCUCCAUUUGUUAACAUUGCUGACCAAGAUUAGUUGCCAGCAAAUACUUGUGGAAGAUGACAGAAUAGACUGUGGUGCAUUCAUUCCCCCAUCAGAGAUUCAGCUGGGGUUUACUGAAGAAGUUUUCUUUCAGCAUAACAUAAAUAAAAUUUUGGGGAAAGUAGUGGAUUUAUUGGGGUUUUUUAUAUCCAUGUAAGUUUACUAGUUAUUUCAGACUACCCCUGGGUAGAUUGCAGCAAACAGACUUUACAUAUAUGUGCCUAGAAAAAAUUUUCAUCUCUGCAACCAGUGUCUUUUUUUUUUUAUUUUUUAAAAGGAAAGACAAACUGCCAGGUGAGCUAUUUGUGAUGCAGUUUCUGGGAGAUCCUCCCAAACACUUUUUAUAAAUGUCAACAACUUAACUUUUAGGCUACUUAGUCUAAUCCCUAGGCCAUAUACUCGUGCAAGCACACCUCACCAGUGCUGUCUAUUCACCAGUAUUUGCUUCAAGACAGCAGAAGAGGUUUUAAAAUCUGUCUUCUUUGUUGCACGCACUUUUGUGGAUAACUUUCUAUCCCAUGUGCAGUGGUGUACAGUUUGUGUUCUGGCAGCAAAUUCGUGCAUGAUUCCAGUUCCCUAAACACUUUUAGAGCCCAUCCAAAAUUCUCAAGUCGAUAACACUAGUAAACUGAUACUAUUUGUCAAGUAUCUGAGGGACCAAUAAUAAGCUAGAACCAAUCACACUCCCUUUGCAACAUGUAUGACUCUUAAUUAAGACAUAGUAAUGGUAUGGCAAGUAUUAAAAGGCAAGCAAAUGAUUAUGAGGUAAGUAUUACUGGAGAAACAACCUUCUAUUUUCCUUUGGGUUUUAGAGAUCCAACUACCUCAAUAUGCCAUGCUGCUCUGGAAAGAAGUCAAUCUAUCAAUUCAAAAUGGAUAUUCCAUAAUUUUGCUCUGCAGGCUUAUUACUUAUUGAUUUACAAUCUAUUCUUGAUUACUCCAACAGCGGGUAAACCUGUUCACAGGACUUCCACAGCAACUAAAGAAAAAAAAAAAAGAUGAGAAGAAAAUAAAAUUAUAGAAUGGUUUGCAUUGAAAAUGUUCAUAAAGAUCAUCUAGUUCAAACUCCUCUGCUAUAGGCAGGGAUGCCAUUCACUAGACCAGAUUGCUCAGGGCCCCGUCCAACCUGUCCUUGAAAAUUUCCACAGAUGAAGUAUUCACAAUUUCUCUGGGCCAACCUGUUCCAGUGCCUUGCUACCCUCACAGUGCAGCAUUUCUUCCUAAAAUCCACUCUAGAUCUACUCAGAUUAAGCCUGGCAUUCAGUAAUAUUCAGGUACCCAGCUACCUGAAUAUGCCAUGCUGCUUUGGAAAGAAGUCAGUUUAUCUCUUCAAACCAAAUAUUCCAUCAUUUUGCUCUGAAGGUUCAUUACUUACUGAUUUACGAUUUCUUAUUGAUUAUUUCAAAAGACAAACCUGUCUCACAGAACUUUUAGAGCAACUGAAAAAUCAACAAAAAAAAUCGAAAAGAGAAGAUCUGUAAUUUCAGAGGCCAGAAACAGAGUGAUGAGCAUAUUUAUACAGUCAACAGAAAUGCAACAAGCUGUUAAUGUAUUCUGUUCUCUCCUACACUAAAUACAGACACAUAAUGAAGAUGGAUGCACUGGUGCAUGUGAGAAUGGAGCACAACAGUGGGAGAAGUUUGACAAACAGGAAUAACUUCCAAGUUCCUCAGAGCUGGGAAUCAGCACUGCACUCAGAGAAACAAGCCAAGCUGAGAGGACUUUCUGGCUCCAACUGCAAGGAAGGACAGCCUGAACAACUCUACUGAAACCCGCACUAUUUCUCAAAACACUUCUGUCCUGUCUGGUGAUAAUAGGCAAGACAAACAGACACAUUCCAAGCAUUCUUGGAGACAUCCUGCUGCAAGCCUUCCUACAGCUUAUUUCAAAAAACAGACUUAUACAAAAACAAAUCAAAUAUUGGCUCAUCAGUUUUUACUUAAAAUGGACACACAGAAAAUGUCUGUCUUUUGACCAACUGAAAUUUUGGAGGUUUCCUCCCUCCUUUUUUCCCCUGUCUUUUUGUUUGUUUUCCUAGUGAGUGCAGGCUUACUGAUUUCACAAAUUUCAGAAUCCAAUAUACUUUUGCUGUAUGUAAGCACUGGAUUAGUGAUAUUUAUCGUAAAAGACAAAACUUGGUUUAUCUUCUGUAUCUACAGAUGCUUAAUAGAUCUUUUUCUGAAUAAUUUUCAUAGCUCUCCAUCUCAGCUAAUUUUGACUGUUGAUUCAACUGAAUUAUUAACAGAAUAAAUGAACCGGGCAACUUGUUCCUCAUCCUUCAAAUGUAACUGAAAAAUUCAUAAUUGCUACAACUUUCAUGUGCUGUAGGACUCAAUAAUAAUGAGACAAGUAUGUUUUAAAUACUAAUAACCUACUAAUAACCAUAAGGAAAAAACAGUUUUCACAGAGAGUUUCUCAUUCAUAUACUGUCACAUCUCACCUUCUACGGUACUUUUGCCCUCUUGGGUAUUUAUUUAACAUUUUAGGUGCACCAAAUAAAAAUCUAACUUCUCAGAUUAAACAGUCUCUGUUUCCAACCUGACAAAAACUAUUCGGACAGUUUAUCUAAUUUUCCAGUUGCCUUAAAUUAUGUAGAUAAAAUUAGCAGUUUGUAAGUUAUAGCAAUAAGAGAGUAAGAGGAGGAUGGAGAGGAAACUGACUGACAAGGAAAUCCUAAUGGAUUUUUGAGAUUAAGAAAAAUCAAAUGCUUUCUGAAGUCUUACUUUAUGUUGGUGAAACAAAUCACACAAAAAAUCCAACAGAGACAUAAGAUUAAUGGGAAAA